rnacentral:rRNA from 1 species
UACGUAGGGUGCAAGCGUUAUCCGGAAUUAUUGGGCGUAAAGAGCUUGUAGGCGGUUUGUCGCGUCUGCCGUGAAAAUCCGGGGCUCAACCCCGGACUUGCGGUGGGUACGGGCAGACUAGAGUGUGGUAGGGGAGACUGGAAUUCCUGGUGUAGCGGUGAAAUGCGCAGAUAUCAGGAGGAACACCGAUGGCGAAGGCAGGUCUCUGGGCCACUACUGACGCUGAGAAGCGAAAGCGUGGGGAGCGAACAGG